rnacentral:rRNA from 1 species
UACGAAGGGGGCUAGCGUUGUUCGGAAUUACUGGGCGUAAAGCGCGCGUAGGCGGCCCAAUAAGUUGGAAGUGAAAGCCCAGGGCUCAACCUUGGAAUUGCUUUCAAAACUAUUAGGCUAGAGUAUGGUAGGGGAUAGUGGAAUUCCUGGUGUAGGGGUGAAAUCCGUAGAUAUUAGAGGGAACACCAGAGGCGAAGGCGGCUAUCUGGACCAUUACUGACGCUAAUGUGCGAAAGCGUGGGGAGCGAACAGG